CGGAGGUGUACAUGUGCAUCUUGUUUGCUCGGUCGACCCUGACAGGCCGACACUCCUCACUCUUCCUCUCUCUCGCACAGCGUUGCCCCGUCACUGCCACCAUGGACGGGGUGGAGGGCUAUACUGAGCUCUUGGCAAGUGUCGCUGGACCUGGAUUCGCUAGUGUCGCGGCGAACGAUUUGGGAACGGCCGCCGCCGUGGUACAUAGUCCAUGUGUAGAUCCAGUUACUUAUGGUGGCUCACAUCUCGGCCAGAUUCAUAGGUCCAGCCGCAGCUCAGGAUCUGAUUCACUGUCUUCCUGUGGGGAAGAAGACGAUGAUCCCGUAGCCGUUUCUGAACCAUACUUCCCGGCAGGAUCCGGUUGGGAAGAAGACGAUGACGCAGUACCCGUUCAAGACCCAUACUACCCGGUAGGCUCCAGUUGGUUCUAUUCCGGUGGGGAAGAAGACGAUGAUGCCGUCCCCGUUCAGAGCAAUACUACCCGACUCAAAUCGAUGCUCAAGAUUUCGAGUCCCACGACGUUGACCAGUACUGCACCGCCGCCCACACCUUUGCCAGCUAGAUGCACAAUGCAGCGGCACCUGUGGAGCAAGAAAAGUUUGUACCUCCCAAAUCGUUAUACAUAAAACGUUUGGCUUAUGUCUGAAUAUUUUCUUGUCAACCUUGAAGCAACCGUACUGCAAAAGGCAUAGAGCUGCCUACUUGCAGGCCCCCAAGUGAGGUGGGCGCUGUGGAGGCAGCUUUGAGGGCUUCCGCCUCUAAGUAUACAGCGCAAAUAUUCUACCCAAAACCUGGCACUGUAUUUGAUUCUCUCGCUGAAGCAUAUGAGUUUGACAAUUUAUUUACUUGGGAUGUUGGGUUCGGCGUAAGAUAUGGCAGAAGCAACAUCAACAAAGGGAACGGUUACAAAACAAAGCAGGAGAUAGAAUGCGGCAAUGCGGGGUCUGACAAGAGAUGCAAUAACCAGUCACAACGCUCAGAAUUCAACUGUUCUUUCUGGUGGCGACUACCUUUGAUCUAAGCAUAUAAGGGAUGCGUUUGUUGGAGAUCAUCUGAAAUAUGAUUUUCAGCACUGCCGUCAUAUAAUUGCUCCAGUACCAUCAAGUACAGGCUUCAGCUGUUACAUAUGGGACAUCUCGGCGAGGGAUCUACUUGUCGUCGAUCCAACAAUGAUGAACUCUGAUGAGGUGAGGGCUACACACCGUCACAGACAUUCUUUGAUGGGUGGUCUUUGGAAGAUGGAGAAUGGGCCCAAGGAGUAGAGACCUCAGAUUUUGGCGGCCGAUGCAGAUGGAACAACUCUGGUUUGUGCACAAUGCACUACGUGCGUUGGUAUGCAGGAAUGUAAACACAAUAUUAUAAGCACCAGUUCAUUUUAAUAUGCUUUGCCCAAACAUGUUUCUCACGCCAUACUGUUUCGUUCUUCAGGUUGAGCUUGGUGAGGUUAGAGCAGACAUGUCCUGAUUCUGUAAGGCUAUUUUUGGUGCUACCCUGCAACGUUGGUGAUCUCCCUGUCCUCUUUUGGAGGCUCAAAUAGACAUUUGCCUAUUUAGUGUUAUGGCUGGAUUAUAUUCUGAUUCUGUAAGGCUAUUUUUGGUGCUACCCUUUGUUGUAAUCUUUCCAUCACUCUAAUAUUUGGGGUCACUCAGAUUUGAGGCUCCUUGAGACAAUCUUGUUAUUUGUAUCAGACUUGAACAUUGUUGUCCAGGUGCAUCAGAAAUUCAGAAUAAAAAACACCAAUUACUGAUGCA